rnacentral:rRNA from 1 species
CGUAGUUGGAUUUUGGUUAAGAGGGCGCGGUCGGCCGUUUGGUCUGUACUGCGUUGUCUUGACUUCCUGAUGAGGACAUGCUCUUGGUUAACGCUGAGACAUGGAGUCAUCGUGGUUACUUUGAAAAAAUUAGAGUGUUCAAAGCGGGCUUACGCUUGAAUAUAUUAGCAUGGAAUAACACUAUAGGACUCCUGUCCUAUCUCGUUGGUCUCGGGAUGGGAGUAAUGAUUAAGAGGAACAGUUGGGGGCAUUCGUAUUUCAUUGUCAGAGGUGAAAUUCUUGGAUUUAUGAAAGACGAACUUCUGCGAAAGCAUUUGCCAAGGAUGUUUUCAUUAAUCAAGAACGAAAGUUGGGGGCUCGAAGAUGAUUAGAUACCAUCCUAGUCUCAACCAUAAACGAUGCCGACUAGGGAUUGGUGGAUGUUAAUUGAUGACUUCACCAGCACCUUAUGAGAAAUCAAAGUUUUUGGGUUCCGGGGGGAGUAUGGUCGCAAGGCUG